GCAGAUUUGCGGCCAGAUAAAACUACCACAACCACAAGCAGCACAAGCUAUGCCAGUUUUGCUUUUUUCUGGUAUUGACCAUGAUCACCAAAUCUCAGUGUCAUCGCUUGGAUACACAGUUCCCGAAUCAUUGGAGCAACUACCAAUGUAGACCUCGAGUUACGGAUCUCUUGUUCCCCUUUCUUUAAAUCCUCUGUGUUCUCGUGUACACCCAUGUGUGUGUGGGGGUAUUCACGAGGACGUCCUUUUUCCUAUCCCGCCUGGUGGAUUCAACUACUCUGGCGGAUGGAUCACUUUUGGAUGCCUGGCAGUAUUUCCCAGGCAUAAAGAUGGCGAAAACGUCGAAUGAUGAAUCCGUGCCCCAUCUCGCGGCAGUCGUAGAAAAGUGUUGUCUGAUUUGGUCCAUACGGAGCGCGGCUGUACUUCAUGCUAAAGAUGAAGCACGCCACGUCCACGUACUCACGGACACGGAGUCCGCCAUUGCCCACCCAGUUCUUAAUUCUUAUCGAGUCACUGUUGGAGAACGUUACCAUUGAAGGUGAAUUUACAGGUUACAGCCUUUAAUUUAUCCUUGGCAAUUCCAUCUGAUCACGUUGCCUGAAACCACUACAUUUCCCAAAAUUUUGUCUUUUGCUGCUACCGGCUGUAGGCCUACGUUUCGUCAUAUGCAGCAAUACUUCAGAACAGUAAAAGUUAUUAUGUUGUGUUGUUCAACUUUUUAACAUUAAGCCAGGUGUCUGAGAAGUCAGAGAAGUCUGAGCUUCUUCAUUGCAGUCGAAUGUGCACAUGGAUUUGUUGGGUGAAAGGUGUUCCUCUUGCAGGCUUGCUACCUGCACCAGUUGUAGCUUUUGCCACAUGCUGAAAUACUUCAGAACAAUUUGAAGAUUACAGCCUCUUAGGGUCUGGGCCUCUUCAAUCUUCAUGGCAGUCAAAUGUGCUCAUGGAUUUGGUGCCAGCUGGUGAACGGCGUGUCGUUCGUUUAUAAGUAGGUGUGCAAAAUUCUGUCCGCCAGGUUGCGGAGUGUCUGCUCGUUAGUAUGUGACGAAAUUCCGCCAUUUGCUGUUGAGACAGUGGACGGGAAUGUGUUGCUGACGGUGUUUUUUGCUUUUACAUUAAAGAACGACCAUUCGACCAAGCUGAAACGAAAGUGAACAACUCUAAAGCAAACAUGUCGAAGAUCUUGCCUUUCUCCACGGUGUCGCUCGUCUUUGAGAGGGUCUCUACUAUAUUGCAAGACAAUAAUAAGAUGUAAACAGGAAGUCUGAAAUGUUUAAAGUUUGAGCAGUUUAUGGUGUUGCUGUUUGGUGUGGUUCAAAGUCAUUUUCCAGUUGGCAGAUGCACUUGAAUGGAGCUUGUGCAGACUUACAUGUCAACAUCAUACCUCAAUGUGUUAUUUGCCUAUGCUUGUGUCCUUGCUGUGUUGAAGAGUUGGUGAAAAUAGCCAAUGUUGCCUGAUGGCUGUCGGGCAUAUUUUAUCUGCUUCAUCUUGUCGAUGUGUCAUCUUUAGCUACCUGUACCGGUGUUGAGUUGAAUCGUUCGUCGCCGUUCUGUAGGUGGAACUGAGGAGGUUUUUGAAAUCCAAAACUUAUAAAUUAUGUAGAUGUAGAUAAAUAACAAGUGCAUAUAUGUGCUCCCUCCCUCCCUCCACAUUUCUUUAAGUAAACAGUAAAUAACUCUCCCCUCUUGGUGAUGAAUCACUCGCUGUGAUAACUGCGAUAAGACGCGUGAUGUGUGGAAAACUUGAAGAGCUACAAAACUCUUCUAUGAUCAAUUCACAACCCUUUACUUUUCCUUCCCUUCACUAUAAAUGUUUUCAUAUGAUAAAUAUCUUCCUUAACGACUUUCUCCACUUUUUCUUCCCUGCAAUGUCAGUCCUACGAUUAAUUGCUCCUACAAUACCUGAUCUGAUAACAUUAACUAAUUCAAAUACCAAUACCAUCGUUAUAAUUCUGAAAUAAAAUAUUUAUAUAUUA
rnacentral:lncRNA from 1 species